rnacentral:rRNA from 1 species
UCAGGAUGAACGCUGGCGGCGUGCUUAACACAUGCAAGUCGAACGGUGAAGGGGAGCUUGCUCUCUGGAUCAGUGGCGAACGGGUGAGUAACACGUGAGCAAUCUGCCCCUGACUCUGGGAUAACAGUUGGAAACAGCUGCUAAUACUGGAUACGAGACGUGAAGGCAUCUUCAACGUCUGGAAAGAAUUUCGGUCAGGGAUGAGCUCGCGGCCUAUCAGCUUGUUGGUGAGGUAACGGCUCACCAAGGCGUCGACGGGUAGCCGGCCUGAGAGGGUGACCGGCCACACUGGGACUGAGACACGGCCCAGACUCCUACGGGAGGCAGCAGUGGGGAAUAUUGCACAAUGGGCGAAAGCCUGAUGCAGCAACGCCGCGUGAGGGACGACGGCCUUCGGGUUGUAAACCUCUUUUAGCAGGGAAGAAGCGAAAGUGACGGUACCUG